rnacentral:rRNA from 1 species
UGGCGGCGCGCUUACACAUGCAAGUCGAACGAGAAAGGGGAGCAAUCCCUGAGUACAGUGGCGUACGGGUGAGUAACACGUGGGUGAUCUACCUGUUAGUGGGGAAUACCCCCGGGAAACUGGGGACAAUACCGCAUAAUCCCGCAAGGGGAAAGUAGCAAUACGCUGACAGAGGAGCCCGCGGCUGAUUAGCUAGUUGGUGAGGUAAUGGCUCACCAAGGCUGCGAUCGGUAGCCGGCCUGAGAGGGCACACGGCCACACUGGCACUGAAACACGGGCCAGACUCCUACGGGAGGCAGCAGUGGGGAAUCUUGCACAAUGGGGGAAACCCUGAUGCAGCGACGCCGCGUGAGCGAUGAAGUCCUUCGGGAUGUAAAGCUCUUUCGACGGGAACGAUAAUGACGGUACCCGGAGAAGAAGCUGCGGCUAACUACGUGCCAGCAGCCGCGGUAAUACGUANGCAGCGAGCGUUGUUCGGAAUUACUGGGCGUAAAGAGUGUGUANGCGGUUGGGUAAGUUUGGUGUGAAAUCUCCCGGCUUAACUGGGAGGGUGCGCCGAAAAC